rnacentral:misc_RNA from 1 species
GUGAGUCAUCGAAUCUUUGAACGCAACUUGCGCUUCUGGGUAUCCCUGGAAGCAUGCCCCUUUGAGUAUCGUUUCAACACAAACUCGUCUGCGUGCUUGCGAAAGUGAGCACAAUGACGGUGAAUGAGCGUUUGGCCGUCGAAAGAGGGCUAAUCGUUUGAAACAUAUCAUACUCUAGUAUCAAUCGUUGAGCAUGUCUCACCUGGUUGAUGUUUGAUAAUUGACUUCGGUCAUUAUACAUCAUUACAUCGACAACAGGAGAUCGGUAUUCGUGUAUGUAUCAAGGAAUUGUAUUCAACU